UGUCUUCUCUCAACGGUGCGGAUCUCGCUUAUAUACGCCUUAGGCAACGCUGGCUAUUGUCUCCGGAAUUCUCAGGAAGGCAGGAGGCCAUUAAUUUAAUUGAAAAGAAGAAACCUCAGGCGUCUUUAUUGUUGGAACGAUCGACUAGGCGCAAGUUAUACAGUCUCACCGUUUGAGAUGGCGGACGCAGGUGGAAAAAAAGGAUAGGGAAAAAGAGAGAUAAGAGAGUUGCUGUAAUACAGGUGCAGACCUUGGGAUUUUGUACGCAUACACACAUCUGCCUUCCUACCUGUCAUCAAUUUGUCUGGCAUAGACAUCAUAGAAAAUUCACCUUAUUACGCGAAUGAAGCUAUCAAUAUAUGGAUGAUGUCGUCGUUAUCGUUGGCUUAGGAAACCUAUAAGAUUGCAGCAAGCGAAAAAAAGAACCCAAAGAGAGUAUAUCUGUCUUAAGUGAAUGGGAAGGAAAAAAUCUGUUUCUAGAGGCUGGUUGACUUGGCGCACAAAUUAUCUUUUGCACGAAUCGUCAUGAUACCGAACUCUCUGCGUGAUGACUACAACGAUGAGAAAUGAAGUUUCAUGCAGUCAACUUCCAUUCCCCCGAUCGAUCGUUUCCCUAGAUCCAGAAUAAAUUCAUUUUCGUUGAAUAACAUAGGCUAAUGAUGAAGAGAACCGUUAUCUUAAGGUCGCAGGUACUUCAAGUAAGGUAAUUCGGCAUGCGAAUAACCUAUUAGAGUUAUCGGAAGUUUUCCUGUUUGUAAAGUUUCCAUGUUUAUGCUUGUUCUGCGUUGUCCUAAUAAUGUGUUCAUAGAUCUACACAUCUUCGGCCAUGCCGAGACCAGGAUAGGACGUUAACAUGUAUGUUUUAGAUGUUCAGAAAGUAUAAGAAACGUUUGGAGGAUAUACCGAUGACUUAGCAAGUGAAGGAAAAAUUGUCUAUGUAAAAACAGUAUAUGCGCAAGAAUUAUAUAUUAUGUGUAAGAAGUGGCGGAAAGAAGUGAUUAGGUUUUUUGACUUGGUAAUGUUGGUUUCAAUUGAAGUAGAAAUUUUAUUUCAUUUCUAGUCAUCUUGCAUCUUAAUAUCUUUUUACAAACAUAAUUUAUAUCAAUUAAACGGAUUAAUGUCAAAAAAUCUAAAGAUCCGAAGAUCUAAGAACUUGGAAACUGACUAUCCUGAAACUAGGAGGAAUCCAUGUAUACGUCUGGAAAUUUUUACUAGCCAAAGCUUUCGAAGUCGAUAUUUAGAGAAUUGAAAAAGAAUCUUGAUAUCUUCAUCGAAAUCCCAAUCUUAGCCGACCAGUUUAAGGAUUUAAAUCUGUACCAGCAAUGAAUUGCACACGAAGAAAAAAUUAUACAUAAAAUAAGAUGAAAAAAUAUUUUUAUUUAAAAGAGCACAAACAACACAACACAAAUAGCAAGAGUGAUAAAUCAACAUCAAUUGAAAGGAAUUUUCUAUUAUGACAGCUGCGUGUGUUUGGAAGAUUUCUCAUCCUAUUCGACCGAACUGAGGAUCUGUGGUCUUUAAGUGAGAUUGGUAUACCAAAAUAUAAAAUGCAAUCUAUUGAACGUGACUAUAUCGUGAAGAUUUGAUGGAUGGCUUAAGAUAAUGAAAAUGAGAGUAAAUCUAUUGGAGCGUAACUAGUUAUCGUUCCUUAUAUCGUAUAAUUCCUAUAUCAUAUUUGUAAUAUAAUUUACAUAUUGCAUUUUGCUUUGUUCGGUUCUUUUUAUGUUUUACAUAGCAGGCUGCAGAACGAAAGAACUAGAUCUAAAUCUUUCUAGAUCUAAAUCUUUAGAUUAGAUAAACGUCCCCGACCGAUCAUUAUCUGCACAGUUCUAAUUCGACAACGUAUCGACGACCACAAUUGGUGAUCAUCAGGGGAUACCACUGGAUUUGUAUGAAAACGAUAAAGGAAGACGCUGUUUUGCACAAUGAUAAUGAAGAAAAAUGUACUUGGAGGAUAUUUCAAGAUUACCAGAUAUAUAAUCGAUAUCACAUAUGAUAUAAUAAUAUUCUGCUGAUGUCUUUCGAUUACUUUGGCAAGAUGUAAUUUCUGAAUCCGCACAAAGCAAGCUUGCACGAGACUUCUGCAAGGACGCGCCGAGCAUACAAGAAAUCGCAACACUUUAUCUAUUACGGAACUACCUUAUAUCAAAAGAAACUAGGGACACUUUAUGAAAAAUCCAUCUAAAUAGUAAUAAAUCUGACAUUUCCUAACUUGAAAAGAGAAAAAGACGCAUUAUUUUUAGAAGAC